rnacentral:rRNA from 1 species
CAUUCGCAGGGUACUACGAGCGUCCAUGUAAAACCCAAAGGACUUGGCGGUGCUUAGACCCCCCUAGAGGAGCCUGUUCUAGAACCGAUAAUCCUCGUUAAACCUCACCACUUCUGGUCAUUCCCGCCUAUAUACCGCCGUCGUCAGCUUACCCUGUGAAGACCAACAGUAAGAAAAUGGGCACAACCCAAAACG